CCGCUUCAACACAGCGCUGUCUGGAACAUGGCCGGACUCCAGCUUGGGCUGCACUAGUUAGCUGUACAGGGGCGUCAGACUCCUCUGCAGCAGGAUUGGGGCCUUUUGUCCGCUGAGGAUCUGCCCCCCAGGCCCCAAUACUUCAGCUAAAUAUGGGAGGAAGUGGCAGCCAAGCCCCGAGAUCCACGUGCAAGCUGAAGAGACAACGCGUCACGAUUUCCAACUCACAUUACAACAAAACAAAUGAUACCCUCGUUUGUGAUAUAAGGGACCUUGCCUGCUCGGGAGCCCUGGGGCUGUGACGAAGGAUCGUCUGCUCUUAGGGUCUAUGCUCAGCACCCAGCCUCCUUCCCUACAUGAAACAAACGACAUUAAAACCGGAACAGCUGGACUAUCAUCUUCUCCAGAGAGGAGCAGGCGGGGUAGCUGUAGAUACAUUUGACCUUGUGCCGGGUCCCCAAGGCUCUGAGAUCCAGCCCCUGUAGCACCAUAGAGAGAGAUAUGUACAUGGUUUUCUAUUUAUAGAUCACGAGAACUUUUUGUGUUAGUUUUUUUAAAGUUGACAACAAUAACAAUGAAAAAAAUCAAGAACCCUCUAGAGAAACUGUAGUGCAUGAACGAACUCAGCAAGCACUGUGCCUUGCCCGGCUGUGCAUGGAGGGCACCAGCGGAUGGGGGCUGUCUCUGCUUGGUGAGGGUUGAGGGUAUGGCUCAGAGGCUGGAGGGAAGCCGAUCUCCCCGGCCUAGGGUGUGACUUGGGAUUGUCGCUCAGUGGAAGUUGGGGAUUGGGACAGUUCAGAACCGCGGGAGGAAGUCUGGACUGGGUCCAUCGCAAUCCCUGUCCGCCCUCCAUGCCAGCGAAGGCUGCACAGGCUGCUCCCCAACCUGAUUGUCUAGAGACUCUAGAAGAGCUAAAAGUUCCAGGCGUUUGUGUGGAGAAACAAGCCCCUUAGCUUGAUGCCGAUGGGAUGUUUUCCUCUCCAGCCACCGCCUGUGCCCCUCCUCCCCCACGGGCCUGUCCUGCCAGUGCCUGGCAGCACCCCAAGAUCCUUGCCUUGCCAAGAUAUUUCCAGAGAUCGUUGUGAACGGCUAUGUGUCUAUUUCAACGGCUGAACUAUGUGAUUGUAUCGAUACAGCAGAGAAAGAAAAAAAAUGAAACAACCAAACCCAACUUCCCAUGCUAAGUGUCUACCGCGCGCAGUGAUCUCUGCCCCCCAGCUCAGGCUGCUGCCUUGUUUGGAGUUAAAAAGUCACAGAGAAAAAAAAAAAUAACAAACCCCAAACCAAACCAAACGAACCCUUCAAGGGUACAAAAGACAAUGGAGAUGGAGACUGUGAUGGAAUUUGCAUAUUCCCUUCAGACAAGGGGGUGGAGGCCAGGGGGCCGAAUUCUCCCCUGGCGCACACCAGGGUAAAUGAGGAGGUCGGUGGCGUUACACGCAGUGAGUGCAGGAUUGCCCUGCUGGUCUCCAGCAAGGAGCCCCAGCUUCAGACGCAAACAGCCCCCAGAACCUGAACCGAAAAUCUGGCUCCAACCAGGCCUGGGGAUCUGGGUCUGAACUCUUGUGCCUGGUCUCUGGGCUGUCUGAUCACACGGAGCUCUCCGGUUGCGUCUAGUCCAUCCUGAUCCCUUCUGCCUCGGUCUCCCCCUUGCUGGGCCCCUCCCCUGGCCCCUGGGCUGGGGUAACUAAGAAACGGCAAAGAAAAGUGUGGUGAGUGGAACAGUGCAAAUUUUCCCAGGGGAGGAGGAGGGGGUGGUGUGUGCUUUCCUUUCACUGGUGGAUGAGAAAGAACCCAAUCAAUUAGCCAGCCUGGUGCGGCCGUGCUGCUCAGCGCCCGUCUGGAUUGGUUGGAACGUUUGGUAAGGUGCAAUUUCUUCGUGGGGGAAUUUUUUGUGGCUGUCUUUGAAACAAGCCGAUAAAAACGACGUGCUACAGCUGGACAGCUCUGGGGUUGGGGUUGGUGGCCCUGAACCGGCCCAAAGAUCUCGCCGGCCCAACAGCUGCCAUCUGCAGAGCUGCCAGAAUCUGCAGGCUGCAAAUGGAAAAACUGAAGCCGAUUUUUAGCCGGCAGAGAGCUGGUGUAUUGCAGGUGGGCCAGAAAGCACGAGCGGUGCUGUGCACUCCCGCCAUAGAGGGAGGCUGCUGUGUGCACCAAGCUUUCUCUGCCAGACUCCGUUUAGGGCUCAGCUUUAUGAGCCAUGCAUAGGCCAAACCGCAGCUCAGCUCAGUGGGCGUUGUGCCUGCAUGAGCAACUGGGCGUGAUUGGAGGGUGACUCAGGCUGAGAGUCACCUGGUUAGGAGACACGUUCUCCUCUCCUAUGCCUCAUCCACCAAGAAAGCGUCCAGCACCCCCUGCCUCCACCCCUUCUUUUCCAUGGUAUGAACACAAAGCCAGUCGCUGUGUCAGGAGCUCUUGCACUAAGGGGGUUGGAUUGUUGUGGGGGUUACUGCCCAGCCCGGUGCCCACAGAGGUGGUCGCAGCGGGCGUGCGGCCUGCAAACUUGGUCACUUGUCGGUUAUGUUGCGGGUGAUUUUUUUUGUGUGGUUUUUUUUUAUCUGCUUUUCUUUUCUUUUUUGAUUUUUUUUGUCUUUUUAAAAUAAACGACAGCUACCCGCAUUGCAUUGUCCUUGCAGAAAACAAUACUGCACAUUGCAUAAAAAGAUCCCCACAAGGACUUUCCACGCAUGCGUCCCAUGCUUCAGAUCCCUCGCUCUCCGGCCCGCGGCACGGAGAAUGCAGCAAUAAAAAAAAGACAAACCCAUGAAAAGCUUUCUACGAUUCUAGUCUUCCACUGUCCCAGUCGUUCUCCCAGCCCACCCCAUCAUCGAGCACGUUUGACACAAAAACCUUCCUCCUCAAACAAAGCCACAUUUCGCUUCCGGGUCCGUUGGCUCUGGCUGAUUGUUCACGUCGUGUGUGUGUGUGUGUGGAACCGGCAGAUGGUGUGAGCAAGGGGCAGCAAAGCCUCCAUCUUUCCACGGCAUCUCUGGCUCGGAAGGGACGCCCAUAUUGCAGCGGCAGGGCAGUAGCGGCCUGCUGGCGCAGGAGAUCAUUCUCCUGGGAUGAGAUUCACCCCUGUGCAGAGGGCCAGCACACGGUGACUCAAGUUCCCCAACGCUUAUGUCCCACUUAAGGGCUGAUGUGGCACCUAAGUGGGCUGUAGGGCUGGUGCAAGACCUUAGCCCAGAGGGUUUUUAAAGCAGCGAGUCUUGCAGACGGCUCCGUCCACCUGUCCCCUCCUGUCCCUGAUCUCACUUGCACUGGUGUAAAGCAGGCGUAACACAGCUGGAGAACCCGAGCAGUCAGUGAGACCCUCUGAGAACAGCAGAAAUGGGCCUGGAGCUGUCAUGUCCAGCUGGAGGGAGGGCGCUUCCGGCAUCUCCCAGCAUUGCCAGUGCUCUCCUUGUUUUCCUUUGCUCCCCCAGCUCCCGGAGGCAGAGGACUAGGGAGAGCCUCAGCUUGCCUUACAAAUCAAAAGGAAUGGCAAUGCUGUGUGUGUCGGGUGUGUGUGUGUGUGUGCUGGUGUGUGACGUGUGGGAUGGGCGCUGCUGGAACGGGAAUCAUUUGUUGUAGGGUUUUUACCAAAAAAAGUUACUUUCAUUUUCUUCCUCCUGCCUUCUAAACCAGGCUGAGGCACUACGGAGCACCCACCGCUCACGAGAAGUGCCAGGGCCUGGGGAAGCCCAGACCGGACCGGACCGGAGAGGGCAUGUGACACUCGGAUCUCUCAACUGCCCCUGUGCUGACUCAGCCCCACGUGGCCUGGCCCUGAGCAGGCCCUGGCGAGUCUCCUCCAGAGAACUGAUGUUUAUACAUUUAAACGCGGGUGAUGUCUGGGGGGGCUCACCCAGGGAGUGUGAAUCCUGCCCCCGCUGGGGAGGGGUCUCUUUGAUCUGGGCUCAGUGGGGUGAGAGAGGCAAGUGGCGGCUCCACGGCCUGUGGGCUGCUCCUAGUUCCAGAAAACCCUGGGUCAUCGCCGUCACAGGGGGGAGAGAGACUCUCCUGAUGAUGAUGGCGUGGCCAGCGGUGGGCACUGUCCCAGCAGAGCCUGGAGAGGCAACGGCCUUUGGGUUCCUCUGGAACAGCCCGCCCAGCACUCACACCUUAUGUCUCUGAUCUGGAUGCUCACACCCCUACCUCCCUCUUCCUCUUCACUGCUGCCUGCUCCAACCCACUGCGUCCCUGCCAGCUCAGCACGUCACAGACCCACCAUCUCCCUGAAAACGCCCCUCCGCUCCCGUCACACUGUGAAGCAUGCAGGGCGGGGGUCUCCCAAGAGCCUGGCCGUGUCCAUCACUAGGGACUGCCCUGCUCACAUCCUCUCCAGCCAGCGCCAAUGACCCACCACCCCUGGGAGCCCGCGAGUCCAGCGUGCCUGCUGAGCGCUCCGGGUGUGCUGCAGGAGGCUCAGCACAGCAGGAGCCAGUGGAUUCUCCUCUCCAGGAGGUAAAUCAAUGUGAUUUAAAAUAAAAUCACCAGGAAGAUAGAAACAAUCCCCCAGCUGCCCUUGAUUCUGAGGUCAGGGGGCCAAACCAGAGGGUGUGGACCUGGCCCUGGCUUCACAGCUCAGCUCUAGGAUCCCAGUCCCCUUCCACCUUCAGAAGCAUCUGCCCUUCUCAAAGGAAACACGGUGCUAAUACCAAUGACGAAUCCCGCCCAGUACCACCACGCCAGAACGUAUGUGUGUCUCCUUCCCACCCACCAAGAGCUUGCUGUGGAAGGAGGGAGAUUCUGCCGCCGUGCUCAUUAACUUUGGUCAAUUAAAAAAGAAAAGGAAAAACUACACAAAAUCCCACCUCCCCCGUCCCACGCCACAAAACCCAGGCAAUCCCUCCCACUGCACUGCGGGGUUGGAUCAGUCACUGAGCACCUCAGCUAACGGAGCUAUCAAUACAGACGAAACAGGUAUUGCAUAUUUUUUUCAUACAGGAUGCACUUUGUAUGAACAGCUGGAAGACGUAUAUGGGGGAAGCUGGUAAUAAACGGGACAGCCUGGCAACUCAGUGUCCAACGCAAGAAAAAAGAAACCAAGUGCAUGGCUAACGUCCGGAGAGCUACCGCCUAAUUUGGCCUGGACAAGGAGGGAGGCUGGGCGAGAGGGGGCAAACGAGGGGGCAUACCCGGGGCUCAUUGCCAAGACAAUCUUCCUGCUGGGAGCACUACAGACCAGAAGGUUAUUCUUCACCCCUCGGCUCAGCUCCCCCCUUGGACCUGCCUUCAUCAGCCAAAUGGCUCCAGGCUGGGACUUUGUUUGUUUCACACUCCCCCUGCAAAUUUCAUUGGUUUCUGAUUCUGAAACCCAGGAAGGUUCCCUGGUUAUUUAUUUCUGUGUCCUGUGUCUGCCAGUACGGAGGGGUCCAGAUUUAAUGCCUGAUUACAAAACAAAUGUACAGUCUGGGGGCAGACUCAUCAUCUCAGUUAUGCUGGUGUGAAACUGGAGUAACUCCACUGAAUGUGAACGGGGUCACAAUGGUUUGAAACUGGAGUAACUCCAUUGAAUGUAAACGGGGUCACAACGGUGUGAAACUGGAGUAACUCCACUGAAUGUAAACGGGAUCACAACAGUGUGAAACUGGAGUUACUCCACUGAAUGUGAACAGGGUCACAAGGGUGUGAAACUGGAGUAACCCCAUUGAAGCCAAUGGGGCUACAAAGGCCGCAAGUUAGGCAUAAGCAGGAUCAGAAGGGGCGCACCCUGGAUUACGCCAGCGCAGCUGAACCUCAAGCCCAGCCCUACUCAACACCAUCCCAACGUUUCUGAGCCACGUGGAGCCUUCCCCAGGACGUCAGAACCAACACACACUUCAAAACGAAAAUCGACAAACAGCCCCCAAUUGAACCCUGAAGGGUUUGACAAAUGGCGAAAAGUCCCACCCCCCCCCACUUAAUUUUACUACGAGAACCAGUGCAUGCAGCUAUUCCUGUGCAGUGAUACCAGUACGGUUAAUACUUAGUCUUAGAAGGCAAGGCACAUCAUGUGGUAUCAAAUUUCGUGCAAAUUAGGAAACAUGGAUUUUUUAACUUUUUGUCUUUUAUACAUAAUUUUUUGUAAGGGGGGGGAAGGUAGAGCCAGUUAUACAGUCUGCCAUGCACAUUAUCAACCAGUAGCCGAUUGGUUGAGCUAGGUCACAUGAGUUCCUGUUAAAGCACCAUGCAGUUUAUUUCUAAUUUUUUUUUUGGAUUUUUAAUUUUUUUCCCCCUCCCCAUCAAUUGCUUUUUUUUGGACUUCCUGUGUCAGCCCCUCCCACAGAGGGGCACCAGACAUGAGGUCCCUUCGCCCCCCCGCCAGAUAAGGUCCCACCUUGGCGAUGGACCUGGUAUGCAAGGUUUGGCCCUCUCCAUGGCCCGAUGGUGAAACCAGCUCCUUGGAACCAGCCACUCUAGCCCCCAAAACCCAGCGCUGAGAAGAGGGUGCCUAAUCCCCAGCCCUCCCCUGGACAAUGCAGGUGUUGGGAUCUCAUCAGCCUCGCUUUGCCUUUGGCUGGUCUGUCAGGCAGCACAGACCCUGGGAGCUGGGAGCCCCCAGCUCUGGGAAGCAGGACAUGUACCUGGGGUGGGCGCAAGGGCGCGUCCCUCUUCCUCUUUGUGUCUGACUCGCUGGCUGAUUGAGAGUCACUUCCAAAGGCCCGAGCUCCUGCUGAGUGGGAGAAACCAGCAUCUCUGUACCAGGUCUGCCAGAGGAGGGGGCGGAAGGGAAGCUGGCAGGGGGCACAAGGAGGGGGAAGAAAUAGUGGGAGAGAACCCCCCAAAACUGUACAAAGCCAUAGGGGGCAAAGAGUUUGAUUCAAAGGAAAGUAUCUCCGAUUUUCACUGGAGCCAGUGCCUAGAUGCUACUGGGGCUAGAGAGAGAGAGAGAGAGGGUGGGUGGGGAUAGACAGAUAGAUAGAUAGAUAGAUAGAUAGAUAGAGGGGGUUGGCGGGGAUAGAUAGAGAGGGAUCGAGGAGCACUGGGCUGAGCAGGAAGCCAUUGCGGUGGGCCGGGGGGUGGGGUAGAAAUGAUUGUCACCGGUGAUCAGCAUCUGCUGCAGCCUCGACUCCCCCACGGGCAGCGGAGUGGGCUCUGUCUGUGCAGCCCUGGAAUGGACCCAGGGAGCAGCCUGCGGGGCCGUGGGGGAGGAUGAACCAGGGCUGGAAUCCUUUGCGCUCCGUAAGUACCCUGAGUACCUCCUGGGCAAAGCGGGGACAGGAGGGGAGCCUGGCCUGGGGUGCGCAGGGCUGGGAUGGAUUUUCCUGCCGCCCUGAUGAGGACUCAGUCUGGGCCCAGCAGAGAAGCAGCACGAGUGGCUUGCAGGCACCUGGUGUUUUCCUGCUGCGAAGAGCGCGCCAGUUCCCUGGCUCCCUUGUGCCCAGAUGGCCCAUUCACAGCCUUCCUCUCCAGUCAUCGCUCCUCUGCCAUCCUCUUCCUCCUUUCCUGCUGGUUCUCUCCUUAAGGAGUGUGCAUGGCCCUCGGGCUGGGAAUGCGGGCCCCACAGCGCCCCUUCUCCCCUCGCUGGGGGCAGCAGAGCCUGGAGCCAGGGAGCAGGGCAGGGGCCGGCCAGCAGGAAGGAGCAGUGGGAGCAAAGGGCCGGUCUUGCUCUGCCCAUGGGGAGAAGGGGCUGUCGUCUGGGGCCAGCUCUAGACAGGGUCCCGUGCUGGUGGAGGUGGCUGUAAGGGGGAACGGGCUGACUCCCUGAUGUUCAGGCAUAGGGGCACUGAUGGUCACUGGGAGUUGGGCACCGCACUCUGCUUUGGGGAUCUCCCCUCGUUUGUUGAUGCCCUGUGGGCGCUGGGCUCUCCAAGGGCACCGCCAGGUGCUGGGCUAUGCCAACAGGUGCUGGCAGUUGGGUGGCACUGCCUCUGCCUGGAUUCCUGACGUCUUGCUCCAUGGCCUUGGGGCUCCCCCCCCCCAGACACCUGCCCUGCUGCUAGCCCUCCCCCGCCCCGGUCUAUCUAUGGGCAGGAAGCAGGGGACGGCCCCUCGUUUCUCCACUUGCCUGCAUGAAGCGGAGGAGACAGCAGCAAGGGCGCCAAGGGCCCAGCUGCGCUAGAGGCGGGAGGGAGUAGCACAGUCCCGCCGCCGAUCUAAGGCACUAACCGGCGGUGCUGCCUGCAGGGGGACAAGGCUGGGACUCCUCUCUCCGGGCCCCGCUGCAUCUCCAUCCCACCUGCUCUGCUCCAUGCUCGGACAGCGUCUGGGUCAGCGUUCGCCUCCCCUCGGACCCUGGCCUGCCCCGGAGUUGGCCAGGGUUGGCUGCUGGAGAGAGUGAUGCCGGAUUUGUACCCAUGAGUGGAUGCCUGGGGUCUUCUCUAAGUGAGCCCAGCAGCUUCCUAGCCACACGCUGUGCCCUUGCAGCACCAAUGAGCCUGGGCAGAGCAAGGCGAGGGAAAGCUCUCCUCAUCCCCGGCGUCUCACGGAGGGACAGACAGGAACUGGUGAGAAGCAGCCGUUGGACCUUUCAGGUGCUCUCCUAAGGAGCCCAGGCACAGCACGACAUGGGCCAGGGAGGGAGAAGGGUGCUGGCUUGGUGAAUUUGCAUGGCUCUCUGCCGUGACCGAACAGAGGAUCCAAGAAUGCGUGGGUGCCUUUGUCCCGUACCAGCAGUGCCCCUACAGGCAGGGCUGUUCCAGGGAGCCGAGUUCCCCGUCUCCCUGCUCACACUUUCGAUUGCCAAAAGGCACAGCCAGUGGCCCCGUUUCUCUUGCUGCUGCGUGAGGCACUCAUGAAAGUUUCGCUCGGAAGAGGCAGCCCUCCAACAACUGCCCGGCAACAGUGUGUCGCCCCCUCGGUGUCCUGGAUCGGCGGGCCGAGUCCCGAACUGGCGUCUCCCUCGCCGAGCCCAUCCCAUGCUCCGGCUCAUGUCGUUUAAUUUAGCUUCUCUCAGGCCCAGCCAGGAAUCCCAGGGAACAGAGCCCAGUUUGUCUUCAUGCCUCUCUGCGUGCGGAAGGGCUCUGGGUAACUCAAGAGCAUCUCUCACCAACGCAUGCUAAUAUUCUGGGACCCGCACGGCUCUCCCAGCCCUGCAGGCAGCAAUGGAGGGACAGGUGAAAGCGGAGAUGCUGCACCUCCACACGCCGGCCCUUGCAGCUCUCUGAGUUUGCCGACGCCCAGGGGACGGCAGCAGACAAUUGAGGCACUUGAACCAGUCAGGAACUACGUUCUACCUCCCAGCUGCGUUUGCUGAUGGCGGGGGCUGAGGAGCGACUCACGGGGGAGAAGGAAAUGGGGAAGUCUGAGCUGAGCAGAGCCCAGCCCCAACCCAUUUGAAUUUAGGGCACCUUGCCUACCCAAGUCAUGGAUCCAAGGCCUACUCCAGCCCCACAAACGGGGGUGGGGGGUCCCAUCUGUGGUGCAUCCUCUCAGGAAGCAAACCAUCUCUCUUAAAAAAAAAAAA